GAGUUUGAUCUUGGCUCAGAUUGAACGCUGGCGGUAUGCCUUACACAUGCAAGUCGAACGGCAGCACGGGAGCUUGCUCCUGGUGGCGAGUGGCGAACGGGUGAGUAAUGCAUCGGAACCGUAUCCUGGGAGUGGGGGAUAACGUAGCGAAAGUUACGCUAAUACCGCAUAUUCUGUGAGCAGGAAAGCGGGGGACCUUCGGGCCUCGCGCUCUUGGAGCGGCCGAUGUCGGAUUAGCUAGUUGGUGAGGUAAAGGCGUCACCAAGGCGACGAUCCGUAGCAGGUCUGAGAGGAUGAUCUGCCGACACUGGAACUGAGACACGGUCCAGACUCCUACGGGAGGCAGCAGUGGGGAUUUUGGACAAUGGGGGCAACCCUGAUCCAGCCAUGCCGCGUGAGUGAA
rnacentral:rRNA from 1 species